AGCAGCCGCGGUAAUUCCAGCUCCAAUAGCGUAUAUUAAAGUUGUUGCAGUUAAAAAGCUCGUAGUUGAAUUUCGGGAUCAAUAUGUUGGUCGUGCCUCGGUACGUACUAGCAUAUUGGUUUCUCCUUUCUGAAGAACCAUGAUGUCAUUUAUUUGGUGUCGUGGGGAAUCAGGACUGUUACUUUGAAAAAUUAGAGUGUUUAAAGCAGGCUCACGCUUGAAUACAUUAGCAUGGAAUAAUGAAAUAGGACGUUUGAUUCUAUUUUGUUGGUUUCUAGGAUCGACGUAAUGAUUAAUAGGGAUAGUUGGGGGCAUUAGUAUUCAAUUGUCAGAGGUGAAAUUCUUGGAUUUAUUGAAGACUAACUACUGCGAAAGCAUUUGCCAAGGAUGUUUUCAUUAAUCAAGAACGAAAGUUAGGGGAUCGAAGACGAUCAGAUACCGUCGUAGUCUUAACCAUAAACUAUGCCGACUAGGGAUCGGAUGAUGUUAAUUUUUAAUGACUCAUUCGG
rnacentral:rRNA from 1 species